UACGUAGGGGGGCAAGCGUUUGUCCGGAUUUAUUGGGCGUAAAGAGCUCGUAGGUGGUUCGGUAAGUCGGAUGUGAAAUCUCCAGGCUCAACCUGGAGGGGUCAUUCGAUACUGCCGUGACUAGAGGUCGGUAGGGGAGUGCGGAAUUCCGAGGUGUAGCGGUGAAAUGCGUAGAUAUCUGGAGGAACACCGGUGGCGAAGGCGGCAUCCUGGAGCCGGCAUUGGACGCUGAGGAGCGAAAGCCAGGGGAGCAAAGCGGGAGUUAAGAUGACCCCGGG
rnacentral:rRNA from 1 species